rnacentral:rRNA from 1 species
AACGAACGCUGGCGGCAUGCCUAACACAUGCAAGUCGAACGAGACCUUCGGGUCUAGUGGCGCACGGGUGCGUAACGCGUGGGAACCUGCCCUUAGGUUCGGAAUAACUCCCCGACAGGGGUGCUAAUACCGGAUAAUGUCUUCGGACCAAAGAUUUAUCGCCUUUGGAUGGGCCCGCGUUGGAUUAGCUAGUUGGUAGGGUAAAAGCCUACCAAGGCGACGAUCCAUAGCUGGUCUGAGAGGAUGAUCAGCCACACUGGGACUGAGACACGGCCCAGACUCCUACGGGAGGCAGGAGUGGGUAAUAUUGGACAAUGGGCGAAAGCCUGAUCCAGCAAUGCCGCGUGAGUGAUGAAGGCCUGAGGGUUGUAAAGCUCUUUUACCCGGGAUGAUAAUGACAGUACCGGGAGAAUAAGCUCCGGCUAACUCCGUG